UACGGGAGGCAGCAGUGGGGAAUAUUGCACAAUGGGCGCAAGCCUGAUGCAGCCAUGCCGCGUGUAUGAAGAAGGCCUUCGGGUUGUAAAGUACUUUCAGUCGUGAGGAAGGUGUUAAGGUUAAUAACCUUAGCAAUUGACGUUAGCGACAGAAGAAGCACCGGCUAACUCCGUGCCAGCAGCCGCGGUAAUACGGAGGGUGCGAGCGUUAAUCGGAAUUACUGGGCGUAAAGGGCACGCAGGCGGUUAAUUAAGUUGGAUGUGAAAUCCCCGGGCUUAACCUGGGAAUGGCAUUCAAGACUGGUUAGCUAGAGUCUUGUAGAGGGGGUAGAAUUCCAUGUGUAGCGGUGAAAUGCGUAGAGAUGUGGAGGAAUACCGGUGGCGAAGACGGCCCCUGGACAAAGACUGACGCUCAUGUGCGAAAGCGUGGGGAGCAAACAGGGAUUAGAUACC
rnacentral:rRNA from 1 species